UGGGGAAUAUUGCACAAUGGGCGCAAGCCUGAUGCAGCCAUGCCGCGUGUGUGAAGAAGGCCUUCGGGUUGUAAAGCACUUUCAGCGAGGAGGAAGGGUAGUGUGUUAAUAGCACAUUGCAUUGACGUUACUCGCAGAAGAAGCACCGGCUAACUCCGUGCCAGCAGCCGCGGUAAUACGGAGGGUGCAAGCGUUAAUCGGAAUUACUGGGCGUAAAGCGCACGCAGGCGGUUUGUUAAGUCAGAUGUGAAAUCCCCGCGCUUAACGUGGGAACUGCAUUUGAAACUGGCAAGCUAGAGUCUUGUAGAAGGGGGUAGAAUUCCAGGUGUAGCGGUGAAAUGCGUAGAGAUCUGGAGGAAUACCGGUGGCGAAGGCGGCCCCCUGGACAAAGACUGACGCUCAGGUGCGAAAGCGUGGGGAGCAAACA
rnacentral:rRNA from 1 species